UACGAAGGGGGCUAGCGUUGCUCGGAAUCACUGGGCGUAAAGCGCACGUAGGCGGCUUUCUAAGUCAGGGGUGAAAUCCUGGAGCUCAACUCCAGAACUGCCUUUGAUACUGGCGAUCUUGAGUCCGGGAGAGGUGAGUGGAACUCCGAGUGUAGAGGUGAAAUUCGUAGAUAUUCGGAAGAACACCAGUGGCGAAGGCGGCUCACUGGCCCGGUACUGACGCUGAGGUGCGAAAGCGUGGGGAGCAAACAGG
rnacentral:rRNA from 1 species